rnacentral:misc_RNA from 1 species
ACAAACUUGGUCAUUUAGAGGAAGUACAAGUCGUAACAAGGUAUCCGUAGGUGAACCUGCGGAUGGAUCAUUACCAAAGAUCUACACUCUUUAUGCACUGUGAACUGUUUUGACUGACAGUCAGCAAGCAAUUGGACUGCUGAGGAGCUGUUGUGCUUCUCUGGCAGUUCCAUGGUCGCUGACUGUACUUGCUAAACGCACUAUGACUCUUAUACUGAUCUAUUUCAAUAAUGAACUAAGACAACUUUUAGCAAUGGAUCUCUUGGUUCUCGCAUCGAUGAAGAACGCAGC